CAGUCGCCGCGGUAAUACAGAGGGUGCAAGCGUUAAUCGGAAUUACUGGGCGUAAAGCGCGCGUAGGUGGUUUGUUAAGUUGGAUGUGAAAUCACCGGGCUCAACCUGGGAACUGCAUCCAAAACUGGCAAGCUAGAGUAUGGUAGAGGGUGGUGGAAUUUCCUGUGUAGCGGUGAAAUGCGUAGAUAUAGGAAGGAACACCAGUGGCGAAGGCGACCACCUGGACUGAUACUGACACUGAGGUGCGAAAGCGUGGGGAGCAAACAGGAUUAGAUACCCCUGUAGUCCCUGUCUCUUAUAC
rnacentral:rRNA from 1 species